rnacentral:rRNA from 1 species
AAACUGCGAAUGGCUCAUUAAAUCAGUUAUCGUUUAUUUGAUAGUACCUUACUACAUGGAUAACCGUGGUAAUUCUAGAGCUAAUACAUGCUAAAAACCUCGACUUCGGAAGGGGUGUAUUUAUUAGAUAAAAAACCAAUGCCCUUCGGGGCUCCUUGGUGAUUCAUAAUAACUUAACGAAUCGCAUGGCCUUGCGCCGGCGAUGGUUCAUUCAAAUUUCUGCCCUAUCAACUUUCGAUGGUAGGAUAGUGGCCUACCAUGGUUUCAACGGGUAACGGGGAAUUUCAAGAGAACCGAGAUUCUGUGGGCUGGUGGCUCGACCAGUAUCGCCAGUGACCCAGGCGUUCACCGCAAGUCCUACGGGGCAACACUGCACAUAUGCUGGGAUGCCUGCUACGGGCAAUCAGCAGCCCAAUCUUGGGUCCACAGACUAAGUGGCAGUGGGCACACUACAGUGCUUAAGAUAUAGUCGGGCUCAGCACGCAAGCGCUGAGAGUCACCGAGGGUUCGAUUCCGGAGAGUGAGCCUGAGAAACGGCUAACACAUCCAAGGAAGGCAGCAGGCGCGCAAAUUACCCAAUCCCGACACGGGGAGGUAGUGACAAUAAAUACUGAUACAGGGCUCUUUUGGGUCUUGUAAUUGGAAUGAGUACAAUUUAAAUCCCUUAACGAGGAACAUUUGGAGGGCAAGUCUGGUGAAACGGAAGCCUAAGACGCCUGUAGCAGGGCGCUGCUGACGCCAGUGAAUAGUGUAGAGCUAGUCUAUUAUAUAGGCAACACACCCACUAUGCGGGGACGCUUUCAGGCAAUCCGCAGCUGCAGAGGCAGUUCAGAGGCUCGAUAGGUGUGGGCGCUGUAUUCAGCGCUUGAGAUAGAGUCCACUCGGGGGCGCGAUGCCCUGAAGACAGUGGCCAGCAGCCGCGGUAAUUCCAGCUCCAAUAGCGUAUAUUAAAGUUGUUGCAGUUAAAAAGCUCGUAGUUGAACCUUGGGCCUGGUUGGCCGGUCCGCCUCACCGCGUGCACUGGUCCGACCGGGCCUUUCCUUCUGGGGAGCCGCAUGCCCUUCAUUGGGUGUGUCGGGGAUCCAGGACUUUUACUUUGAAAAAAUUAGAGUGUUCAAAGCAGGCCUAUGCUCGAAUACAUUAGCAUGGAAUAAUAGAAUAGGACGUGUGGUUCUAUUUUGUUGGUUUCUAGGACCGCCGUAAUGAUUAAUAGGGCCAGCCGGGGGUGUCAGUAUUGCGUUGUCAGAGGUGAAAUUCUUGGAUUUACGCAAGACUAACUACUGCGAAAGCAUUCACCAAGAAUGGUUUCAUUAAUCAGUGAACGAAAGUUAGGGGAUCGAAGACGAUUUGAAUACCUAAAAUCUGGUCGUCCGCAGCUUUCUAUCGUAGAAAGCUAGUCUCUUUGCAGAGGCAAUACCGACAAAUUGUGGGAACAUUCUCUAGGAGGACGAUCCACAGCUGGGGCACUGCCCCAGUCAACAGACUGAAUACCGGUGGGUUUGCUAUAUAGCAGCCUAAGAUACAGUCGACUUCGCAGCGCAAGCUGCGAACUACAGUGCAGAUACCGUCGUAGUCUUAACCAUAAACUAUGCCGACUAGGGAUUGGACG